CUAGUUGGUAAGGUAACGGCUUACCAAGGCAACGAUGCGUAGCCGACCUGAGAGGGUGAUCGGCCACACUGGAACUGAGACACGGUCCAGACUCCUACGGGAGGCAGCAGUAGGGAAUCUUCCGCAAUGGGCGAAAGCCUGACGGAGCAACGCCGCGUGAGUGAUGAAGGUCUUCGGAUCGUAAAACUCUGUUAUUAGGGAAGAACAAAUGUGUAAGUAACUAUGCACGUCUUGACGGUACCUAAUCAGAAAGCCACGGCUAACUACGUGCCAGCAGCCGCGGUAAUACGUAGGUGGCAAGCGUUAUCCGGAAUUAUUGGGCGUAAAGCGCGCGUAGGCGGUUUUUUAAGUCUGAUGUGAAAGCCCACGGCUCAACCGUGGAGGGUCAUUGGAAACUGGAAAACUUGAGUGCAGAAGAGGAAAGUGGAAUUCCAUGUGUAGCGGUGAAAUGCGCAGAGAUAUGGAGGAACACCAGUGGCGAAGGCGACUUUCUGGUCUGUAACUGACGCUGAUGUGCGAAAGCGUGGGGAUCAAACAGGAUUAGA
rnacentral:rRNA from 1 species